rnacentral:misc_RNA from 1 species
GUAAGUAAAAGUCGUAACAAGGUCUCCGUUGGUGAACCAGCGGAGGGAUCAUUACUGAGUUACCGCUCUACAACCCUUUGUGAACAUACCUAACUGUUGCUUCGGCGGGCAGAGGUCCCUCGCGGAUCUCUCCCGGCAACGCCCUCACGGGCGGAGCGCCCGCCGGAGGAUACCAAACUCUAUUUUAACGACGUUUCUUCUGAGUGGCACAAGCAAAUAAUUAAAACUUUUAACAACGGAUCUCUUGGUUCUG